UACGGGGGGAGCAAGCGUUGUUCGGAUUUACUGGGCGUAAAGGGCGCGUAGGCGGCGCAACAAGUCACUUGUGAAAUCUCCGGGCUUAACCCGGAGCGGCCAAGUGAUACUGUCGUGCUAGAGUGCGGAAGGGGCUACUGGAAUUCUCGGUGUAGCGGUGAAAUGCGUAGAUAUCGAGAGGAACACCUGCGGCGAAGGCGGGUAGCUUGGCCGACACUGACGCUGAGGCGCGAAAGCCAGGGGAGCGAACGGG
rnacentral:rRNA from 1 species